GUGGGGAAUAUUGGGCAAUGGGCGCAAGCCUGACCCAGCAACGCCGCGUGAAGGAAGAAGGCUUUCGGGUUGUAAACUUCUUUGACAGGGGACGAAACAAAUGACGGUACCCUGAAAACAAGCCACGGCUAACUACGUGCCAGCAGCCGCGGUAAUACGUAGGUGGCAAGCGUUAUCCGGAUUUACUGGGUGUAAAGGGCGUGUAGGCGGGAUUACAAGUCAGAUGUGAAAACUAUGGGCUCAACCCAUAGCCUGCAUUUGAAACUGUAGUUCUUGAGUGAUGGAGAGGCAGACGGAAUUCCUCGUGUAGCGGUGAAAUGCGUAGAUAUGAGGAGGAACACCAGUGGCGAAGGCGGUCUGCUGGACAUUAACUGACGCUGAGGCGCGAAAGCGUGGGGAGCAAACAGGAUUAGAUACCCGAGUAGUCC
rnacentral:rRNA from 1 species